AAUAUUUGAUUAAAGACACACAUGAAGAAAGAUAACAAAAAUGUCUAUAACAAGACAUUAAGGGUUUGAAUGGUUACGGCGGACAAAACCUCCGAUCAUACCACUUUUUAUUUACUAUUCAUCAAUUAUAAUCCACAGUGGUCUGGACCAAAAAAGAUAAAAGAAAACCGCAGCGGCUUAUCUGCGGACCGCUUUUACAUACAAAUAAACUUGGUCCACAACGGUUUAUUGUCUGCUUCAAAAAUGAAGUAGACUAAACCGUAGACAAAUUAGACCGCUUUGUCCGUUACAUCCAUUCAAAGAGUAAAGACAUCUUUAAAGACACUCUUGAUUGAUCAAGACUUUUGACCUAGAAUCUAAAAACGAAGAAGAAGCCAAAUAAGAUCGAAAGAGAGGUAAUUUAGACACCAUUAAUUGUUCGCAAUGUU
rnacentral:sRNA from 1 species